AUUAACGCUGGCGGCGUGCCUAAUACAUGCAAGUCGAGCGAACAGACGAGGAGCUUGCUCCUCUGACGUUAGCGGCGGACGGGUGAGUAACACGUGGAUAACCUACCUAUAAGACUGGGAUAACUUCGGGAAACCGGAGCUAAUACCGGAUAAUAUAUUGAACCGCAUGGUUCAAUAGUGAAAGACGGUUUUGCUGUCACUUAUAGAUGGAUCCGCGCCGCAUUAGCUAGUUGGUAAGGUAACGGCUUACCAAGGCAACGAUGCGUAGCCGACCUGAGAGGGUGAUCGGCCACACUGGAACUGAGACACGGUCCAGACUCCUACGGGAGGCAGCAGUAGGGAAUCUUCCGCAAUGGGCGAAAGCCUGACGGAGCAACGCCGCGUGAGUGAUGAAGGUCUUCGGAUCGUAAAACUCUGUUAUUAGGGAAGAACAAAUGUGUAAGUAACUAUGCACGUCUUGACGGUACCUAAUCAGAAAGCCACGGCUAACUACGUG
rnacentral:rRNA from 1 species